rnacentral:rRNA from 1 species
UCCGUAGGUGAACCUGCGGAAGGAUCAUUACCGAGUUGAUUCGGGCUCCGGCCCGAUCCUCCCACCCUUUGUGUACCUACCUCUGUUGCUUUGGCGGGCCGCGGUCCUCCGCGGCCGCCCCCCUCCCCGGGGGGGUGGCCAGCGCCCGCCAGAGGACCAUCAAAUUCCAGUUAGUAAACGAUGCAGUCUGAAAAACAUUUAAUAAACUAAAACUUUCAACAACGGAUCUCUUGGUUCUGGCAUCGAUGAAGAACGCAGCGAAAUGCGAUAAGUAAUGUGAAUUGCAGAAUUCAGUGAAUCAUCGAAUCUUUGAACGCACAUUGCGCCCUUUGGUAUUCCGAAGGGCAUGCCUGUUCGAGCGUCAUUACAACCCUCAAGCUCUGCUUGGUAUUGGGCACCGUCCUUUGCGGGCGCGCCUCAAAGACCUCGGCGGUGGCGUCUUGCCUCAAGCGUAGUAGAACAUACAUCUCGCUUCGGAGCGCAGGGCGUCGCCCGCCGGACGAACCUUCUGAACUUUUCUCAAGGUUGACCUCGGAUCAGGUAGGGAUACCCGCUGAACUUAAGCAUAUCAAUAAGCGGAGGA